rnacentral:rRNA from 1 species
UGCCUGUUUUUACAAAAACAUUUCCUUUAGUUUAAAUUUAAAGGUAAUUUCUGCCCUAUGAGUAUUUUAAAUGGCUGCAGUAUCCUGACUGUACAAAGGUAGCAUAAUAAUUAGCUUCUUAAUUGGGGGCUGGUAUGAAGGAAUUAAUGAGAUAUCAAUUAUAAUUAUAUAUAAUUUUUUAAUUUAAUUUUUUGGUAAAAAAGCUAAAUUAUUAGUAUGGGACGAAAAGACCCUAGAGAACUUUAAUUAGGUUUUUAAUUAUAAUUUUUAUGUAAAUAAAUUUUAUUAACUUAUUUUUUAUUGGGGUGAUAAAUAAAUUUAAACUUUAUUUUUUAAAUUCUUUAUUUAAGAAUAUUUAUGAAUCAAUAAUUGAUUAAAGCAAAAGUUACCUUAGGGAUAACAGCGUAAUUUGAAUGGAGAGUUCUAAUUUAUAUUCAAGUUUGCGACCUCGAUGUUGAAUUAAGAUAAAUUUUUGGAGCAGUAUCUUUUUAAUUAAGUCUGUUCGACUUUUAAAUUCUUACAUGAUCUGAGUUCAAGACCGGA